rnacentral:rRNA from 1 species
UACGUAGGGCGCAAGCGUUGUCCGGAAUUAUUGGGCGUAAAGAGCUCGUAGGCGGCUUGUCACGUCGGAUGUGAAAGCCCGGGGCUUAACCCCGGGUCUGCAUUCGAUACGGGCAGGCUAGAGUGUGGUAGGGGAGAUCGGAAUUCCUGGUGUAGCGGUGAAAUGCGCAGAUAUCAGGAGGAACACCGGUGGCGAAGGCGGUCUGCUGGGCCAAGACUGACGCUGAGGCGCGACAGCGUGGGGAGCAAACAGG